rnacentral:miRNA from 1 species
GUAUCUUCGCCGCGGUGCUGCUCU